rnacentral:misc_RNA from 1 species
UCCGAGUUGACCCCGGCAGUCUCCUAUGAGUCCCCGCCAUCACGCGCUGGCAACAUAGAACGAGGGUUGCGCUCGUUGCGGGACUUAACCCAACAUCUCACGACACGAGCUGACGACAGCCAUGCACCACCUGUAUGGAGCCCGUAAGGACCUGCCAUCUCUGACAGUUUUCUCCAUAUGUCAAACCCAGGUAAGGUUCUUCGCGUUGCAUCGAAUUAAUCCGCAUGCUCCGCCGCUUGUGCGGGCCCCCGUCAAUUCC